UAAGGAAUAUUGCGCAAUGGACGAAAGUCUGACGCAGCGACGCCGCGUGGGGGAUGAAGGUCUUCGGAUUGUAAACCCCUUUCGGGAGGGAAGAUGGAGUGGGUAACCACUUGGACGGUACCUCCAGAAGCAGCCACGGCUAACUUCGUGCCAGCAGCCGCGGUAAUACGAAGGUGGCAAGCGUUGUUCGGAUUCACUGGGCGUACAGGGAGCGUAGGCGGUUGGGUAAGCCCUCCGUGAAAUCUCCGGGCCUAACCCGGAAAGUGCAGAGGGGACUGCUCAGCUAGAGGAUGGGAGAGGAGCGCGGAAUUCCCGGUGUAGCGGUGAAAUGCGUAGAGAUCGGGAGGAAGGCCGGUGGCGAAGGCGGCGCUCUGGACCCAAACUGACGCUGAGGCACGAAAGCGUGGGUAGCAAACAGGAUUAGAUACCCCUGUAGUCCCUGAGCGGGCUGGCAAGGCGCAU
rnacentral:rRNA from 1 species